CCCUCUCUUGCACAAGGUGAGGCCCUGAGAAGUGAAGAAAGACCUGCCUGGGGUCACACAGGUGAUUAGGGCAGAACUGGGAUCUCCCAGACCCCACCCGUGAUCUCCGUCAUAGUCCUUCGCUUCGCAUGCACAGCAGCCUCACAGGACCUGGAUCUACACGACAGCUUCUCAAGGGUACUCGGCACUUCCUGGAGAAGCCCCAGAUGUGACCAUCUGACUUUCCAUGCUCCAUUUAGAAUUGGGAUUUGAGCUCUCCAGGAGACCCUUCUCACUCGGAGUCUGGCAAGGUACACUGACAGAGUCAGGACAGUGGAUUUUCAGCAUGAUCAAAGCCUCAAGCUUGUUUGGUGGUAUGCAGAAAACCCAGAAACUUCUGGUUCUCUCAAUGCUAAUUUGACCCAGAGGAUUGCUUCCCUUUAAGAUACUUUGGCAUCUGCUUCAUUUCAUUGUUCUCUCAUUUUUCAAUUUUUCACAUACGCUGGAUUAAUUAACUGCAGCAUGGGAAGUAGUAAGGCUAUUAAUUCU
rnacentral:lncRNA from 1 species